GGACGAACGCUGGCGGCAUGCCUAACACAUGCAAGUCGAACGGGGGUAGCAAUACCUUAGUGGCGAAACGGGUGAGUAACACAUAAGCAAUCUGCCCUUCACAGGGGGAUAACAGCGGGAAACUGCUGCUAAUACCGCAUAAGACCACGGUACCGCAUGGUACAGGGGUAAAAACGAAUCAGUGGUGAAGGAUGAGCUUAUGUCCCAUUAGCUAGUUGGUGAGAUAACAGCCCCACCAAGGCGACGAUGGGUAGCCGACCUGAGAGGGUGAUCGGCCACACUGGAACUGAGACACGGUCCAGACUCCUACGGGAGGCAGCAGUGGGGAAUAUUGGGCAAUGGAAGGAAACUCUUACCCAGCAAUGCCGCGUGAGUGAAGAAGGUCUUCGGAUUGUAAAGCUCUUUGAUUGGGGACGAAGAAAGUGACGGUACCCAAAGAACAAGCCCCGGACUAACUACGUGCCAGCCGCCGC
rnacentral:rRNA from 1 species